UACGGGGGGGGCAAGCGGUUGUUCGGAAUUACUGGGCGUAAAGGGCUCGUAGGUGGCCAACUAAGUCAUACGUGAAAUCCCUCGGCUUAACCGGGGAACUGCGUCUGAUACUGGAUGGCUUGAGGUUGGGAGAGGGAUGCGGAAUUCCAGGUGUAGCGGUGAAAUGCGUAGAUAUCUGGAGGAACACCGGUGGCGAAGGCGGCAUCCUGGACCAAUUCUGACACUGAGGAGCGAAAGCCAGGGAGCAAACGGG
rnacentral:rRNA from 1 species